CUCGCCUGCAUGAAGUUGGAAUUGCUAGUAAUCGCGAAUCAGAAUGUCGCGGUGAAUACGUUCCCGGGCCUUGUACACACCGCCCGUCACACCAUGAGAGUCGAUAACACCCGAAGCCUGUGAGCUUAACCUUUUAGGAGGCAGCAGUCGAAGGUGGGGUUGAUGAUUGGGGUGAAGUCGUAACAAGGUAAC
rnacentral:rRNA from 1 species